rnacentral:rRNA from 1 species
CCUACGGGAGGCAGCAGUGGGGAAUAUUGGACAAUGGGGGGAACCCUGAUCCAGCGACGCCGCGUGAGUGAAGAAGUAUUUCGGUAUGUAAAGCUCUAUCAGCAGGGAAGAAAGACAUGACGGUACCUGACUCAUAAGCCCCGGCUAACUACGUGCCAGCAGCCGCGGUAAUACGUAGGGGGCAAGCGUUAUCCGGAUUUACUGGGUGUAAAGGGAGCGUAGACGGCGAUGCAAGUCUGAAGUGAAAGGCGGGGGCACAACCCCCGGCCUGCUUUGGAAACUGUAUGGCUGGAGUGCAGGAGAGGUAAGUGGAAUUCCGAGUGUAGCGGUGAAAUGCGUAGAUAUUAGGAGGAACACCAGUGGCGAAGGCGGCUUACUGGACUGUAACUGACGUUGAGGCUCGAAAGCGUGGGGAGCAAACAGGAUUAGAUACCCCUGUAGUC